UACGAAGGGGCUAGCGUUGCUCGGAAUCACUGGGCGUAAAGCGCACGUAGGCGGCUUUUAAGUCAGGGUGAAAUCCUGGAGCUCAACUCCAGAACUGCCUUUGAUACUGAGAGCUUGAGUCCGGGAGAGGUGAGUGGAACUGCGAGUGUAGAGGUGAAAUUCGUAGAUAUUCGCAAGAACACCAGUGGCGAAGGCGGCUCACUGGCCCGGUACUGACGCUGAGGUGCGAAAGCGUGGGAGCGAACAGG
rnacentral:rRNA from 1 species